GGACUACACGGGUAUCUAAUCCUGUUUGCUCCCCACGCUUUCGUGCCUCAGUGUCAGGAAUUUCCCAGAAAGGCGCCUUCGCCGCCGGCCUUCCCCCAGAUAUCUGCGCAUUUCACCGCUACACCUGGAGUUCCCCUUUCCCCUGAAAUCCUCAAGUCACGCAGUAUAAGGCGCAAUUCCCCGGGUAAGCCGAGGGCUUUCACACCUUACUUACGAAACCACCUACGCACCCUUUAAGCCCAGUGACACCGAACAACGUUCGCCCCUCACGUAUUACCGCGGCUGCUGGCAC
rnacentral:rRNA from 2 species